rnacentral:rRNA from 1 species
UACGUAGGGAGCGAGCGUUGUCCGGAUUUACUGGGUGUAAAGGGUGCGUAGGCGGCUCUGCAAGUCAGAAGUGAAAUCUAUGGGCUUAACCCAUAAACUGCUUUUGAAACUGUGGAGCUUGAGUGAAGUAGAGGUAGACGGAAUUCCCGGUGUAGCGGUGAAAUGCGUAGAGAUCGGGAGGAACACCAGUGGCGAAGGCGGCCUACUGGGCUUUAACUGACGCUGAGGCACGAAAGCGUGGGUAGCAAACAGG